UGAAUAAAUAAACUUCCAGGGACUGCUCACAGUAAGCUAUAGGUCAAUGGAUGUGUAGCCGGGUGAAGUGGGGGCAGGGAGGUUUUUGGACUGCUAGAUGGUCCGCACAGAGGGCGAGGGCGUACUGCCCCUUUAAGUACAUUGGCAUGAGUUCACGUGGGAUUUGGAGCUGCAGAGCGGGACCUAGUGGCUACUAACACCACACAGUGUUAGCGGUUAGCAUCGGAACAGCGUUAGGGAAAUACCUGUUCAGCGGGUCAGCAGGGGAGUAACAAGCUGCUGUGGGUUGAGGUUGCACGUGCAUGGAGCCGUGCACGCCGGCGCUUGAGUGAGUUUAUUGUUUUCGGGACUUUUUGGAGGAACGACAAGGGUGUGGGGUUUGAACAGCAUGAGACCGAUGUGCAUGUUCUUUGUUUCUGUUUAACAGGAAGGGGUCACUACUGUUGAUUUUUAUGUAACUGUUAGCUUCAUGUAAUUUCUAGCUUACGGUAAUUGUUAGCUUUAUUCCAUGACAUCCUGUUCUAGUUAGUGAAGCGAAGCAACUGGUUAUUUGUUAUUUGUACACUGUUCCAAGUGCCUCCUUAAUUUGACAUAUUAAGGCUGUGCUCCAGGAGGGCAGUCGGGGGAAAUAAAGAACCCACAUUAAAGAGAAAUACAUUUAU